AACGAACGCUGGCGGCAUGCCUAACACAUGCAAGUCGAACGAAACCUUCGGGUCUAGUGGCGCACGGGUGCGUAACGCGUGGGAACCUGCCCUUAGGUUCGGAAUAACUCCCCGAAAGGGGUGCUAAUACCGGAUAAUGUCUUCGGACCAAAGAUUUAUCGCCUUUGGAGGGGCCCGCGUUGGAUUAGCUAGUUGGUAGGGUAAAAGCCUACCAAGGCGACGAUCCAUAGCUGGUCUGAGAGGAUGAUCAGCCACACUGGGACUGAGACACGGCCCAGACUCCUACGGGAGGCAGCAGUGGGGAAUAUUGGACAAUGGGCGAAAGCCUGAUCCAGCAAUGCCGCGUGAGUGAUGAAGGCCUUAGGGUUGUAAAGCUCUUUUACCCGGGAUGAUAAUGACAGUACCGGGAGAAUAAGCUCCGGCUAACUCCGUG
rnacentral:rRNA from 1 species